AGGUAGUCGUUUCUUUAAACUAAACCUAUGUAGUUUGGCGGCAUUUAAUCAUUUUAGAGGAACCUGUCUUUUAAUCGAUAUUCCACGUUAAUUUUCACUUUUAUUAAUAUUUUAUAUACCUCCAUCUAAAGGGUUAAUAUUUACAUUUUCCCCACAAUAAUAAUUUAGUAAGUUAGGUAAAGGUGUAGACUAUAUAAAAGUUUAGGUGGGUUACAUUAAAAAUAAUUUAAGAAAUAUUGUCCAAAAAAUUUUAAGAAAAAGGAUUUAUUAGUAAUUUUAAAAUAUUAUUAUUAAAUGAAUUUGAUAAAUAAUGUGC
rnacentral:rRNA from 1 species